ACCUUCUCAUUCAGCCAAUCACUGGCCAAGAUGGGUCCUGCCCCAAGUGAUCGUCUUGGAAGCAGGAGGAAGAAAAAGAAACUGCGGGGGGACCAGCAAGGGACUGAUGCUAGAUCAUACAGAGUGUGACAUCUUUUUCGCUCUUAAUACAUGGGCUUUCUUAUUAAAUGAAGCAUGGUGCUCCAAGGGCGUCAUCAAACAACAAGAUUGGGCACUGCUAUAUGGAUAUUUAUGAUUGUUACUGAUGCGUAUAGAAGGACGAUAAGCUCCCAUGAUACCAACGGGUUCCAAUAUGUCAUGAAAAGAUCUGUUAAUCCUUCGCUCCAUACCCAUGACAUAAUGCCAGCCCUGAAAUAAGGACAAAGCCGAGGACUUGAAGGCACACAUUGGAAAACAUUCUUUUAUCCGUAAUGAAAGCCGUUAGACUGUCAGCUCUUGUUCCGGGGUGUAGUUCUGUGAAUGAAAACUAAGUACAUAAAGCAUUAAGAAGAUACCACAAUUUACAAAUAGACAUCAUCUUCCUGGAACGAGUGAUUUAAGAUAUGGGUGAUGAUCUUAACACAACACAAUGUAAUGUAACAAUGUCUCUGUUUUACAAAAUCCCUUUCUGUGAGGUUCCCCCCAACAGUUACCCAUUCACAGGGUUUUCUGCUGAUGAGACCCCAGGGACCUCCUAUAGUCACUUGAUAGCAAAUGUUACAUUUUCCAGCAGCUCCCCCACAGGGGAAGUGAAGUAUUGCACAAAUCUAUGCUUGGCCAUGUCAGGUGAGAGAUGCCAUUAGUACUCUCUCCUUUGCUUAAUACAGUAGAGUCCAUUACAUUAUUGGAAAGUGGGGUUUCUAAAUCAGACAACUCCUUUAACCCCAGAUUACCCAUGUUCAAUACACAUAUUUUUUAUCGGCCGACACUCUGCAGAGUCCCAUUUUUUAAUGAUCGGAGCUUGUUUCACAUGGCUCAACCAAACAUGUGGCUGGGUCGCAUGAACAAUCUCUGGAUGGUUUGUGCGGCCCAUUAAAUGGAUCAUUGUUAGCCGUACAUCCCCAGUUUACACAGGGCGAGGGGAGGCUGACUGCAAUCAUUUAAAUGGCCAGACAAAAUAUCCGCUGAGUGUGUUCUUGUUGGCUAAAUAUUGGCCCUUUUACAUGGGACAAUUAUUAG